rnacentral:lncRNA from 1 species
GAAAUACCUCUGUAUCUCUUAUUACCCAGAGGAAAUAAAAAGAACUUUUCUUCAAGCCCCAUGCCAGUUCUUCCACUUGUUCAUUGGCUAAAGAAGCCAUGCUUCCGAAUGAUACAUAAACGACUGAUCCUUCGGGCUUCGUGUUGAGCCAAUUCAUGGUGAUGGAUUUGUCCAAUGUGAAGAGAUUGAGAUCAUAAUCAUUGUCAUUAAGGAUUCUGUUGUCUAGGUAGAAAGAUGGAAGCGUUGGACCGAUUGUGACCAUUGGACAAAAUUUAGACAUUGAAUCUGCCACCUGUAAUAGAUAAAAAAUUGUCCAAUAGUUUCUGGAGUGAUCUCAACAUUAAUUGUGGCUAAAAUUUAUAUACAAGAGGAAAAAAAAUAGAAACAUUACAAAGUUGCAUAAAUAAAUAAAACAAGGCAAGGUAAAAUUAAAGCGUAGAACUUAUCAUUCAAUAUUUUAUUAUAAGAUUUAUAAUUCAGAAAAUCGACUAGUGGAUUUCACAAUUUCAAAUUUUUUUUUAUGUGUUUGAGAGUAUUGUUGACACUUUGAAAUAAUUUAAGGGAGAAUAGCGCACUUUCGACCCUUUCAAAUGUUGCUUUAAUUUAAAUGUCAGUUUUAACAACGAAAACGACAUGAGGUAUUAAACAGUUUCUCGAGAGGCAAGUGAUAAAAUCAAAUUACUAGAUGAACGAAAGCGUCAUGCGUUCUUCCAAUUUAAAAGUCAUCUUACAAAAAGUAAUAUAGAAAAGUACUUUUGAAAAAUGGAUAUUUGGAUGCAAAAUACAGUUAAAAAUGCGUUUUAUAAAAAUGACAACUAAAGUAAAUAUUUAUCAUUAGAUUUAAAAUUAGGAUUGAGACCUCUCUUAAUUCUUUUCUCUCCUAAGUUCUCUUAUUUUUUCACAUCUAGUGAAAAAAAUUGACAUAAUUGUAGAUAAAAGUGAAAAAAAAAAGAGAGAGAGAAAAAAAUUGACUUAAUUGCUAACUUCAAAAUUGAAACUCAAUUAACCACUCGGGCAGUAGCCCGAGUGGCCAGGGCUGCUGCCCUCCAAGUUGGAGGGCAGCAGUUCGAACCCCCACAAAAGCAUUGUGGGGGUAUUUUCUUCUUCAAUUAAUUUGAAUGAAGGUAGUCUUCUCCCUUACCCAUGAAAGCCUGCAUGUGUGACAUGUUGUUUGGGUUGGAUUUUUCUAAAAACUUCAGAAGUAUAGUUGACCUUAAUCUACUCAAAACUCAUUAUUAUCGAGCUGACCACGUAAGUACAACCUGGAGCCUAUGUUGGCGACCUGAUUCACAAGUACGACUUGAGAUUUAUGUGAAUGACCUGAUUUAAGAAUACAACCUUAAAUUUAUAUGAGCGACCAAGAAAUUCACCGGUCCGACCUCGAAAUUUAUUUGCCCGACCAGAGAAUUAGCUUGACAUAGAAAGCUAUUGGUUAAGAUAACGUGGCCUAAUUUCUAGGAAAGUUGUGUGCCACGAUCUAUGUAAACCAUCUCCAACUGAUGACCACGUGCAACUGCUGAAGAAAGUGGGCAGAAGUUAAAGGUGGUAACCACCCACGACCAGGGGCCUAUUUAAGUUGAAAAUGGCAACUAAUGAAGGGGUUAGCAAAAUUCAACCAAAAAACUCUAUAAGUGACCUACCUAAGAGCCUUAAGAGAGGUUACCAGAUUUGGAGUUCCUUUAUCAGAAAAUUCCUUUCUUUUGAACCCAUUCACAAUUCUUCCCUCUCAUUUUUGUCGCUUUAUACACAAUUUCUGACUUAAGCAUAGGAGGGUCUGCGCCGGAAACCCACCGGCGUAUCCUAACCGUGUUUUCUGGUUGACAGGUACAGAAAAUUACGGUCAUAUUGGCGUUUAAGCUUGGAUUCGUGCUGUAAUUCCCCUAAAGAAACAAAUUCAGCUGUUGAGGUCGUUUUUCGGCAUCAACAUCUUGGCGCCGUCUGUGGGGAUCGGUGCGAAAAGCCAUACGUUUGAAAUUUAGAAGGAAGAAGCUAUCAGAUUACGGAAUAACGAUGGAUGACAACGACGGAGAUAGGCAGACACUUAUAACUCUUGUUGUGCUUUCAUUUGGUGUUUGUACUUCAGAUAAAAUGUAGACCUCAAACGUAAAAUCUAAAAUGUCGACCUCAAACGUAGACCUCACAAAACUAAACUGUCGACCUUAACAAACAACCUCAAACGUAGAGCUCACAAAGCAAAAAUAUCGACCUCAAAUGUAUAGCUCACAAAGCAAAAAUAUCGACCUCAAAUGUAAAGCUCACAAAGCAAAAAUAUCGACCUCAAAUGUAAAGCUCACAAAGCAAAAAUAUCGACCUCAAAUGUAAAGCUCACAAAGCAAAAAUAUCGACCUCAAAUGUAAAGCUCACAAAGCAAAAAUAUCGACCUCAAAUGUAAAGCUCACAAAGAAAGUGUCGACCUCAACCGUAGGCUUUACAAAACUAAAAUGUCGACCUUAACAAACAACCUCAAACGUAGAGCUCACGAAGCAAAAAUAUCAACCUCAAAUGUAGAGCUCAAAAAGCAAGUGUUGACCGCAAACGUAAAGCUCACAAAACAAGUGUCGACCUCAACUGUAGGCUUUACAAAACUAAAAUGUCGACCUUAACAAACAACCUCAAACGUAGAGCUCACAAAGCACAAGUGUCGACCGCAACCGUAAAGCUCACAAAGCAAGUGUCGACCUUAACCGUGGGCUUUACAAAACUAAAAUGUCGACCUCAAUCGCAAUUAGAUUGAAAAUUAUUUGUCAUGUUAGACCUCAAUAAGGCCCAAAUAUGCCGAUUUCAAUCUCAAUUAGAUUGAGAAAACUUUUCACAUUGGACCUCAACAAGGUCGCAAUGUUGAUCUCAAUCUUAAUAAGAUUGGAUAAAUCUUUUCACGUUGGAUGUCAAUAAGGUCGCAAUGUCGAUCUCAAUAUCAAUAAGAUUGGAUAAAUCUUUUCACGUUGGAUCUCAAUAAGGUCGCAAUGUCGAUCUAAAUCUCAAUAAGAUUGGAUAAAUCUUUUCACGUUGGACCUUAAUAAUGUCGCAAUGUCGAUCUCAAUUUCAAUAAGAUUGGAUAAAUCUUUUCACGUUGGACUUCAAUAAGGUCGCAAUGUCGAUCUUUAUUAUUGCUUGCACUAUUUUUUAAGAAUAAUUUACAAUAUUCAGAAACUUGCAAGGGUUAAAUAAUAAACUUAAUAUUUUUUUUUAUAUUUGAAUUUACAAGAUAUUGCAUCCCCUAUCAAUUAAUCGUCAUUCGUCAUUGUCGUUUUCAUGAUUUGUAAAUUACAUACUGUCGGCAUGAGAAUCAUAAAAAUUGGGAAAUAUGAAAAUGUCUCACCCCAACCAUGUAUGAUGAUCGUGAAAUGAUCUACCUUAAGAAUCAGCGAAGAAGAUAUAUGGUGUAUUUAAUGUUCUUUUCUUCAAAGUCUAGAUUUUCCUUAUCUAAUUCUCUCGUAAUACUAUAAAUUUCAACCUCCUUUCAUAAAAUCAAUUUGAUUGUCUCUAUUUUUAUUUUUAAUUUGUUGGAUGGAAGACACUUAGGUCUCUAACGUUUCUCACUUUUACUAAUUAGGUUCUAACUUUUUUUAAUACCCAUAUAUUUUGGGGCUCUUUUAUUAUUAAAAUCCUACUUUCAGUCUAGUUUAAUUUGUUUGCCAAAAGGUUGGAAGGGGUAUCCAUGUUGAAAAAUUACGAUUAUCAUUCAAAUGUAAAUUGGAAUAUUAAAAUUUAAAGGCGGUGAUAUUUUCAUUCUACUAAUUUUGUAAACCCUCCCCACUUCUAGAAAAUAAUUACAAAAAUUUUACAUUAUUUUAAAAAAUUUCAAAUAAAGAAUAAUUUUGGAGAAUUGAUUAAUUAAAUCCAUCUUUUUUUUUGUGAUCUAAAUUUUUUUAAUUAUGUUUAACUACUCAGAUUGCCUUUUCCUAAAUUUACAACCAAAACAAAUUAAAAAAAUUUAUUUCAACUUAAUUUUAUACAAAAUACAUUGUCUCUAAGUUAUGUGUCAAUUCUACUUUAAUAGGAUGAUUAUUAAUCUUUAAUUAAACUUACAUAAUGUCUUUAAAGUACCAUGCUCAUCUAAAUUAUCGAGCUACCAAAUUUGUAUCAUUUGUCAUGUAAGAUAUUGAAAAAUAUUAGAUUUCAUUUAAAAAAAGUUAGAAUAUAGGUCACAAAAUUAAAUAUCUAAACUAUUAAAUACAAGACUGCGAAUUUCUUGGGCAACUGGGUCAUUUUUUGUCAAAAGGGUAAAAUAAUGAACUAAAACUUGUGUUAAAGCAAUUUUAAUAGCCUAAGAUUGUCAAAGAAACUUAAAUAAGAAAAAAAUCAUAAGGAGGAUGUAAUCAGUUAAUAGUAUAAUCUUUUUGUUGAUUUAUUUGUUACUAAUAAUAGUGUGAAUGUGUGGUGGGUCUACAAAAAUAGUAGGAUAGAAAUAUCCCACCCCACGGUGAUAAUUCCACCCCACAAUUUCUAUAAACCCACCUUAAUUGCAGAAAAUAAUUGCAAAAAGUGCACAUUAUUUUUAAAAUUUUAAAUGAAGAAUAAGUUUGGAGAAUUAAUUAAUUAAAUUAAUAUCAUUUUUUGACUUAAUUUUUUAUUAUAUUUGAUUGCUUUAAUAUAAGUUUAGAUUAACUAUUUUACCCUUAUAAGAUAAAAGUACAAAAACUACUUUAACAUUAAUUUUUUUUCAAUCUUAUACAAAAUUCAUUGUUUCCAAAUGAUGUAUUAUCUAAACAAACAUAAUAUCUUUAUAGCAUAAUACUUAAGUAAACUACUAGCCUGUCCAAUUUAGGUCAUUUACAUUGGAGCAAAGACAAAGUUACAAACUUUUGUUCAAAUUUAUUUUGUGCAAACUAACAUAACAUAAUUCAAUUACUUGGAUUAAAUAAUUUCUUAUUUCAUAACAUAACAUAAUUUCUUUGUUCACAUGAUUUAUUUUUAUUAUUUCAUAUUUUUGUCUAACCAAUGAAUUUAUACCAUAUCAGUUUAUACAAAGUAAAUUAAUAAAAAAUUUGUUACUCUAUCAUCACUCUUCAUUAGGGUAUUGAAAAUAAUUAUUAAAUUUUAUUUUAAAAAAUUAGAUUAUUAGUAAAAAAAACUUAAAUAUCUAAACAAUUAGAUACAAUAACUCAUGUUUUGGUGCAAUUUGGUCAUUUUAUAUCAUAAGAGUGAAAGAGUCAAAUAAAGCCUAUAUCAAAGCAACAAUUAUAGUCAAAGAUGGUUAAAGAAACCUAAAUAAGAAAAGUUAUGAAAAGGAUUUAAUUGAUUAAUUUUACAAACUUUUGUUAAUUUCUAUUUGUUAGAAAUAAUAUGAAUUCAUUGUAAUUAUUUUCUAAAAGUGGGGUGCAAAUAUCUCCACCAUUAAGAAAAUACAAAAUUUGAUUGUAGAUAUGUGAGACGGGUGAGUAUAAUGUCACAUAAGAGCCUUUUUGUUGAAGUGAUUUUUCUGUAAUCUUCGAUCUAUUUGUCUUCUUAGUUUUCUUCAGUUUGAGCAAUAAAUGCUUUUUUUAACUAUUGGAUCAAAUUAAUUCCUAUUUUCACGAUGUGAAAUUAAACUUUAAUAGUGUUUUGAGAAGCACUUAUUUAUUGCAACAUGACAAUACGUUGCGUGCAAACUACAUGUGCUUAUGGUUCUACGCCAUUUUGUUGAUUCGAUCUUUUGGAGCGUUGGAGGCAGUCAAGCACCAUAAAUCAGUCUUGGGAUGUAGUUUGUUAAUGACAAGCACCAUUGACCCAAGAAAUUUGUUCACUUGUUUUAGUUGCCAUAUUACUGUCGAAUUAGUGGUUCCCAAAGGCUCCCAAAUGUAGCUUAAGUUGAUUAUUUUAUUGCUGUUAUAAGAUAAAAGUAUCAAAAUACCCAUAAAAGUUUUUUAACUUCAAUAACUUUUUUAAUAUAAUUUAAUUUAUAAUUUUUUCGAAUGAUUUAUUAUUAUUACUUUAUUAAUAUGAUUAUUAAUUUUUAAUUAAACUAAUAAAAAAUCUUUAUAACAUAAUAUUUUAAGGAAUCUAUUGGCUGUCAAAUUAUGUACUAUACACACAUAGGAGUAUUGAAAAUUUAUUGGGUUUCAAUUCAAAAUGUUAGAUUAGAUAGGUUAUAAAACUAAAUAUUAAAUUAACUCCAUGCUUUCUGCACAACUUUUUUUUUCAAACUUCAUAUGGCAAAUUUGUCAAAGACACUUUAGUGGCCAAAGAGAAUAAAAAAGUAACGUGAUUUUUUUUAAAUGAGGAUUUUAAUUGGUUAAUUGUCAAAAUUUCUUCUUUAUUUGAAAUUAUAAAAAAAUAACAUGAAUUUUUUGUAAUUAUUUUUUGAAGUGGGGUACAUUUACAGAAUUUUAGGAGGUGAGCGGUUCUUACUACAUAAUUUUAAAUAAACGCAAUAUAAUUACUGAUCCCAUCAAAUUUUGAUUUUCUUUUUGUAUUGGGUAGAAAAUCAGAUAAAACUUAGCUAUUCCUUAAGGAAUACAUGUUCUGUGAGCUUAGAUGGAUUUUAUAAUUUAUCAAAAUUGAAAUGGCAAAAACAAAUUUAAGAAACUGUUUGUUCUCUGCAGCUGAUGUGAGGCCUGUUAUUUGGAUGAAAUAUUUUUCCUUUAACGAAAAGCCAUGCUUAAUAAAUUAAAUUUACAAAAUCUUAAUAAAAAAUAAAUUUUAAUAUUUAGCAAACUAACUUUGUGAAUAUUUUAAUCACAAAUUCCCCGUUUUUUUGUAGUGAAAGAAAAAUAUAAAACUAAAAAAGAUCCAUUUCCAGUCUUUUGAUUUCCGAAUUAAUUUUUUUCGUUUCGUUUCUCUGUGUUUUCACUAAGCAUUACUUGACGCCUUGACUUCAAAUCGAUAUCCAGUCCCGAAUAGUUAUAUUUCUCUUGUAUAGUUUCAAUAAAUUUAAUUCCCAUUGUGGUUGUUUUCCGAACCAAUGUUCCAUUUCAAUGCCAAUGAAUACAGUAGUUUUUCUUUUCCAAAAAAAAAAAAAGAAUACAGUAGUUUUUGUUUUCUUGAUUUUGCGUUAAAUUUUUCUAAAAUAGAAAGCGAACCUUCAAAGCCAUAACCGAUCUCUCCUUCCAUCCUGGAUUAAUGCCACCACCAAUUUUUCAUAAAAUGAAAAGCCUGUGUGCUCGAUCCAGAAUCAGUUGCAAUGACGCCGGAAGAGUCAUCAACAUCAGCCUUACAAAUACAGGAUUAAGUGGUACAUUUCAUGAGUUUUCAGUCUCAUUGUUUCCUCAUCUUUUCUUGAUCUCGGCUUUAUUGAAUUAUAUGGUAUCAUCCCGCCUCAAACCGGUAAUCUCUCCAAGGUUCUGUUCCUUUCUCUAUAUGAUAAAAUGUUUCAGGAAACGUACCUCCCGAAAUUUGCCCACUAACUCAUUUGAAAGUUCUUUCUCUUCCACUCCAACAAUUUGAACCGUUCAAUUCCUUCUUCUUUAGGUGUCCUGAACAACUUGGUUCAGUUGUUUCUUAAUGAAAAUUCGCUUUCUAGUUCUAUUCUUCCUAACAUGAGAAACUUGAAGUCUCUCUCAGAAUUAAAUUUGAGCAUUAAUCAACUUAGCGGUUCAAUACCUCCUUCCUGUGGUAACUUGAGAAACUUGAAUGGAUUGUGCCUCUUUCGUAGUUCACUUUCAGUUUUCUAUUCCACUGGAAUGGAUUGCGCCUCUUUCGUAGAGUUUCUAUUCUAAGGGAAAUAUGGAACUUGAGGUCUCUUAUUGUCCUAGAUUCGCCACAAAAUUAAUUUAGAGGUUUUGUUCCUCCAUCUGUAGCUAAUUUUACUAAUUAAAGAAUUACAAUUGCAACUACACAAAAUCACAAUAUUACAGUUGAAACAAUAAUAAUAUUAACAGAGAGAUAUCAAGAUUAAAUACCUAUAAGAAUUGUUGAAGUGUGAGCUCUGAAAUUGAUUUCCAGAAAUUCAUACGACAUGUCAGUUCGUGAUUGGAACAGAAUACGACUUGUCGGUUAAAGUCAUUCAAAGCUGUAUGACAAAGAUGUUCGUUCAUCCAUCUGUGAGUAAGUGAAGCACGUGGACAUCACAUGCUUCCACUUAUCCAUACGACUUUACUGAGUGCCGUUUUAGAGCCUUCGUUUAACGUGAUGCAAACACGUGGCUCAGAGGUCGUUAUGUUCUGUUACAAGAGCGGGAAAAUCUGGGUCUUAUUGACAGAGGAUGUUAAAGAUUGAGAAGUCAAUCACGAAGAUUUGAAUUGAUUGUAUAAUUAUAUGAUUUUAUUUGUUUCCUUUCUUACUUUUGUACAGCUAUAUAAAGGAAUCACAUUAAUGAGUUUGCCUUAGAUUUCGGCAUUCCUCUGCUUUUGUAUCUUGUAUAUAAACUCAUGAUAUGGUGGCUGAAUAAUAAUAUAUAGAAUUCACUCAAUUCUUUUCAUGGUAUCAGAGCGAGAUUCUGGUCACUAGAUUCUUCUGCUCAUCCCAGCAAUCUGAAUUUUUUUUUUUUUAAAAGCCAUCAAUCCAUGGCAAACAAAGAAAAAGCUUCAUCCCCAAUCUCCAGCCAUGAAGAUCCAAGUAACCCAUUAUUCCUUCAUCACUCUGAUCAUCCAGGAGUAAUAUUAGUGUCAUAGCCCUUAACUGAAGAAAACUAUAAUACCUGGAGCCGUGCAAUGAUUAUGGCAUUAAGUGCGAAGAACAAAAUCGGGUUUAUUGAUAGAUCUAUCAAGCAUCCUUGAGAUGCUUCAGCCGCUGAGUCACAACACUGGAAUCGCUACAACGAUAUGGUCAAAUCAUGGAUGCUCAACUCUAUAUCAAAAGAAAUCUCUCUUAGUGUGAUCUAUUGCAAACUUGCAAGUGAGAUUUGGGCGGAUUUAAAAGAACGACUUUCACAGGUAAAUGGUCCAUAUAUUUUUCAAGUUGAAAAAAAAUUCAUAACUUGGUGCAGGAUACCAUGUCGAUAGCAACAUACUAUACUAAGCUGAAAGCAUUGUGGGAUGAACUGGAUGCACUUUGUUCAAUUCCAACGUGUUCUUGUGGCUCAAUGAAAGCAGUUAUCCAAUAUCAGCAAAGCCACAAAACCAUGAAGUUCCUUAUGGGACUAAAUGAAUCAUACUCUGCAACUCGCGGACAGAUUUUAUUGAUGGAUCCACUUCCGAAUGUGAACAAGUCAUAUUCAUUGGUGCUUCAAGAUGAGCGUCAGCGUGCGGAAUCUUCAAAUCAAACCAUUGCACCAGAAGCUGCUGCACUUGCUGCAAAAAUGAACUCACGAGAAAGGAAAGAAUACAAGGAUGUGGAGAAGAGAAAAGACGGAAAACGUGAACGCCCAAAAUGUGAUCAUUGCGGAUGGGUUGGCCAUACAGUUGACAAGUGUUAUCAUAUUCAUGGAUUUCCUCCAGAUCACCGAAAUCGGAAAGGAAAUUCCAAACCAAGUGCCAAUCAAACAUCCUCACUUGCUGUAGAUUGUAAAGAAUAAAGUGAUUAUUCAUUUACUCAGGAGCAAUGCAAGCAAAUUCUUGAGCUCUUGAACAAUGUUAAUAAACCAGGUCCUAUGGCACAUCAUGUAGGUACUUCUGCCAUGACUCACUUGUCAGGUAAAUUCAUAUGCAUCUCAUCAUCCUUAGAAUGUACUCCAUGGAUCACAGAUAGUGGUGCUACAGAUCACAUGGUUUGUUCCUCAUCUUAUUUAACAUAUUCUACGCCAGUGAAAAAUCAAACUGUCAAACUACCAAAUGGUUCAUUAGCUCCUGUCACACACAUUGGAUCCAUUAAUUUUUCUUCACAAUUUACUUUGACCAAUGUUAUGUGUGUACCUACCUUUCAUUUCAACUUAAUUUCUGUAAGCAAGCUUUCCCAAAAUUCACAAUACUCAUUUAUCUUCUCCUCCCAAUCUUGUGUAAUUCAGGACCUACGCUCGAGAAAGACGAUUGGGACGGGAACUGAACGGGAUGGUCUAUACUACCUGAAUGUGUUCAAGGAAGUCACCUGUCAAUCAAUGAACUUUUUUCUUUCUCAAUUAUGGCAUCGUCGUUUAGGACAUUUAUCAAAUAAAUCUCUUCAUCUACUUUCUACCAAUGUACUUGACAUUAAAGCUUGCGACAUUGGUAAUUGUCCAGUGUGUCCUUUAGCAAAGCAAACAAGAGUAGAGUUUUCUUUAAGUUCAAUAUCUUCUACUGCACCGUUUGAGUUAUUGCAUGUUGAUAUUUGGGAAGGCUAUCAAACAUCUUCUAUUUCAGGAGCCCAUUAUUUUUUGACCAUUGUGGAUGAUCACACUCGAUGCACAUGGGUUUAUCUAAUGCGUCAUAAGUCUGAAACCCGUCAUCAUUUACAAUCAUUUGUACAACUUGUUGAGACACAAUUUUCUUCAAAGGUUAAAACCAUCCGUAGUGACAAUGGCCAAGAAUUCAUCAUGCCGCUUUAUUAUUCUAACAAAGGAAUUAUUCAUCAGACUAGUUGUGUCUCCACCCCACAACAAAAUGGAGUGGUAGAACGGAAACACCGACAUCUCCUUAAUGUAGCACGUGCAUUACUUUUUCAAGCUAAUUUACCAAAAUAUUUUUGGGGUGAAGCCAUUCUUACAGCCACAUAUUUGAUUAAUAGGAUACCUAGACCUAUUUUAUCUGGAAAAUCUCCUUAUGAAAUGUUGUAUAAAAUUAGACCAUCUUAUAACCAUCUGCGUGUUUUUGGUUGUUUAUGCUUUGCUUCCACACAUGCUCAAAAACCAUCCAAGUUUGAUGCACGUGCUACUCGUUGCAUAUUCAUUGGUUACCCUUAUGGACAAAAAGGAUAUCGAGUCUAUGAAAUAGAAAAUCGUAGAGUUUUCACAUCCCGUGAUGUUUGAUAUUUCAAAUAUGGAUUUCAAUGCUUCUAUUGUGCCACGUAGAUCUUCUCGCCCAACUAAACCUCAUGGGUAUUUGCAUGACUUCCAUAUCCAACAUAGACUCCCAUCUCAGAUGUCUCAAUCGUCGGAAUUGGCUACGGUCACUUCUCUUGGUAAUCCUUAUCCUUUAUGUAAUUUUUUAUCUUAUGAUUGUUUGUCUUCUCCUCAUCGAGCUUUCACCUCUUCCAUUUCUCUUCAAACAGAACCUAAGUCCUUCUUGCAGGCAUUUCGAGACAAAAAUUGGCGAGAUGCUAUGAGAGCAGAAAUAGAUGCUCUUGAAAACAACCAGACAUGGACAUUGACUUCUCUUCCUCCUGGCAAAAAAUCAGUAGGGUGUAAAUGGGUUUUCAAAGUCAAGUAUAAUCCUGAUGGUUCUGUUGAACGAUAUAAAGCACGUUUGGUUGCGAAAGGUUUCAGCCAAAUAGAAGGGCUUGAUUAUACAUAAACAUUUGCUCCAGUUGCCAAGUUAGUGACAGUUCGUGUAUUACUUGCAAUUGCAGCUACACAAAAAUGGCAUCUUCAUCAACUUGAUGUUAACAAUGCGUUCUUACAUGGAGAUCUUCAUGAAGAUGUCUACAUGGAUCUCCCUCCUGGAUUUGGACGAAAGGGGGACACAAGGUUUUGCAAACUCAACAAGUCAUUGUAUGGUCUAAAGCAAGCAUCUAGACAAUGGUUUGCUAAACUUUCUUCCGCCCUUAGAUAUGCUGGCUACAAGCAAUCAAAGGUAGAUUAUUCAAUGUUCGUCCAAUCAGAGGAAGGAAAUUUCACUGUUGUUUUGGUGUAUGUUGAUGAUGUGAUCUUAGCUGGAAAUAAUUUGAAGAAAAUUCAAGAACUUAAAGAAUUUUUGAAUGGUUGUUUCAAACUCAAGGAUCUUGGAAGCUUGAAAUAUUUCUUAGGCAUUGAGGUUGCACGCUCAAGAAAUGGGAUUCAUCUUUGUCAAAGAAAAUAUGCUCUUGAAAUCCUUGAAGACAUGGGUUUUCUAGGUGCAAAACCAACAAAAAUUCCUUUGGAGCAAAACUUAAAUUUAAGUGCAUCGGAUGGGGAUUUAUUAACAGAACCAUCAUCAUAUCGGAAGCUUGUUGGUAGAUUGAUUUACUUGACUAUAACACGACCAGAUUUGGUGUAUGCAGUACAUGUGCUAAGCCAAUUCAUGGACAAGCCACGUACAUCACACUUAGAUGCAGCACAUCGAGUUUUACGAUACAUUAAGCAAGCACCAGGCCAAGGGAUAUUCCUGUCAGCACAUAGCUCAAUUCAGUUGAAGGCUUAUUGUGAUGCGGAUUGGGCACGAUGUAGAGAUACUCGAAGGUCGAUUACUGGAUAUUGCAUCAUGCUUGGAGAAUCACUGAUCUCUUGGAAAACAAAGAAGCAAACAACUAUCUCUCGAUCUUCAGCUGAGGCUGAAUACAGAUCUAUGGCAACCACUUGUUGCGAAAUUACUUGGUUAAAAUAUUUACUUGAAGACUUGAAGGUGAAACAUUCGCAAGCAGUUAUGUUAUAUUGUGAUAACAAGGCAGCCAUUCACAUUGCUUCAAAUCCUGUUUUCCACGAGCGUACAAAGCAUAUCGAGAUUGAUUGUCAUCUUAUACGUGAGAAACUUCAAACCGGCAUGAUUCAAACAGCCCAUGUACACACCAGCCAACAACCAGCUGAUAUUUUUACUAAAGCCCUUGGUUCAGCUCAGUUUCAUCAUCUACUUGGCAAGUUGGGUGUUAUGAAUAUACACUCCAACUUGAGGGGGAAUGUUAAAGAUUGAGAAGUCAAUCACGAAGAUUUGAAUUGAUUGUAUAAUUAUAUGAUUUUAUUUGUUUCUUUUCUUACUUUUGUACAGCUAUAGAAAGGAAUCACAUUAAUGGGUUUGCCUUAGAUUUCAGCAUUCCUCUGCUUUUGUAUCUUGUAUAUAAACUCAUGAUAUGGUGGCUGAAUAAUAAUAUAUAGAAUUCACUCAAUUCUUUUCAGAGGAGAGCUGACUGGUGGGGAUAUAUUCUGGGCUCUCUUAAGCGUGUAUAUAUAGCCUUAAGGGAUAUGGAAUCCGUGUGUGUGAUGCUUGUAAUUUCAUCUUAAAGCUUGUAUCUUGUUCCUGGUGAUUGAAUAAAGAUUGUUACUCUGUUCUUCAGUGGAUGUAAGCCACCUCCAAGCUGAACCACUUAAACUGUUCUUUCGUUGGCUGCUGUUCUUUAGUUUCUUCUGUGUAUCUUUUAUUUGUUUCUUAAGAGUUUCUUAGUCAAGCACCAGAGUGUUUAGAGCAGUCUUGGGGAAUCUUGGUUGAUUACAUUCGAUCAAGGCACAACAAGAAUGCUAGCGCAAACCUUAAGGCUUGUGAGAUACCACAGUUUUUUGUACCUCCUACUGUUGUGCUUUAGAAUUGCAUGGCGUCUGUCCCAAGAUACAAGAGAGUCAAAUAACUCUAGUGCACCACCAGGCUAUUCUUAGUAACUUCCAUUGUGUCUGAAUUUUGUCGUGUCUGGACUCUUUCAAAUUGAAUUAAUGCAUAUAAAGGAGGAGGGGAAGUGUUUGCCAUAGCAAUUUGCAUUUGCCUUGUGCUGUCUCUUGUUAUAUAUUGUCGUGUCGCUUGAAAUGAAGAGAAAUAUGACAAUUCAUAGCCAUUCGUGUGAGGGCAAUAUUGUUCAAAUUAACUGUAUUCAAAUCAGUAAUGGAAAUAUUCAAUUCCUAAUUAAAAUCAUAUGUAACCGUUAGCCAUUAAUUGUGAAAUAUCCCAAUUCUUCUACGGCAUUUUAGUCAUAAUAACCCAUCUCUUCUUGGAAAUUUUUGUCAUGUCAAUAGAUUAAGGGUAUUUUAAUCUUUUCCCAGCUCUUAACUAAGCUAGCCCUUAAGAAUAAAAAGAAAAAUAUGCCACAUUCAUUUUACAAGAAAGAGAGAGAGAGAUCGGCAAUGAGACAAAGAAAGAUAAAGAAAAGAGCGAGAAGAGAGGAAGAAGAAAAAAAGAAGAAAAAGAGAGAAAAGACAGAAAAGAAGCGAAGAAGACAAGAAGAAGAAACUCUUCUUCAUAGACGAGUAAAAUAGGGGAAAGAAACGUGAGAUCAAAGAGGUAGUAGUUGCAAUAAUAGAUUUUGCAAGAAAAUAUCCUGACAGUGGGUAUUUUUGAAAUUAUAGUAAUUAGUACAAAAGUUUUGUAUAUUAAAUUAUACAUUUUCAAGAAUGUUUUCAAAUUUGUUUCAAGUUAAUCGAAUAAGAAUUAAAUUUAUAUGAUUUUUCAAACAUAAGUAUGGAAACCUAAAAAUCUCUUUUUCCAAUAUCAUGAAUUGUGAAACUAUUUUAUCGUACUAUACCUAAACUUCUUCAAAAAUUAUAAAAUUUGGAACAGUAAUUUGAAUAUAUGUCCAGUAUGAUUUAAACAUUCUCAUGAUUUUAUGAUUAAAGGAUAAAUUGUUUUAUAUUUUCAAGGUAAGUAUGUUCAAAGCAUAAAAUGAUUUGGUAGGUUUGACAUUGUCUGAAAGUAAACUAUUUUCAAGAGAUUUUGAAGGAAUUUAGCUAUGAAAGAAUUUUCAGUACAUCAGCAUGUCCUCUGCAAAAUUGGAUAUUUUUUCAAGGGGUUUUUUAUUUAAAUAUCCUCGAUUUGUCCUUAAAUACCAAAUUUAUACCCUAUUACAUGCAUAUACCUCAUGAAGAUAGGAAAAGUAAAAAAUAACCUUAAAAAAACCAAGAAUCCACACCUUUCUUCCUCUCACAGCUUCUCUCUUUCAGGCUUCUCUCACCAUUCUCUUCUUCUUCCUCUCACGACUUCUCUUUUUCGGGCUUGUACACACACUAUUUCAUAGAAUGUAGGGAUUUAAGACUCCAUUUAAGUUAUGAGUGAUUGAAGAAUCAGUGCCGGAGAGAAGUCAAGUACGAAGUCGGGUAAGUCGAGAACUUAGUCGAGUAAGAAUUGGAGAUAAGUAAGUCGAGUAUAUGAUCCAGUAGGAAGUCGAGUAAGCAUAUUAAAUGAGUCGAGUAAGAAGUGAAGGCAAUUGAAUAAGUCGAAUAUCUAGUCGAGUACGAAGUCAGGUAUGAAGUCUGGUAAGUUGAGCAUUCAGUCGAGUAAGAAGUGAAUGCAAUUGAAUAAGUCGAGUAUCUAAUCGAGUACGAAGUUGGGUAUGGAGUCUGGUAAGUUGAGCAUUCAGUCGAGUAAGAAGUAAAGGCAAUUGAAUAAGUCAAAUAUCUAGUCGAGUAUGAAGUCGGGUAUGAGUUUGGUAAGUUGAGCAUUCAGUCGAGUAAAAAGUGAAGGCAAUUGAAUAAGUCGAGUACGAAGUUGGGUAUGAAGUCUGGUAAGUUGAGCAUUCAGUCGAGUAAGAAGUGAAGGCAAUUGAAUAAGUCGAUGAAGGCAAUUGAAUAAGUCGAGUACGAAGUUGGGUAUGAAGUCUGGUAAGUUGAGCAUUCAGUUAAGUAAGAAGUGAAAGCAAUUGAAUAAGUUGAGUAUUUAGUCGAGUAAGAAGUCGAGUAAAUAGAUUGAAUGAGUCGAGUAUUAAUUUUUUGUUGGCAUUUUAUUGAGGCUAUUUUUGUACUUUCCUUGAUUUUUUUAAGUAUGUAUGUGUAAAGUUAUAAAUUUUAAUAGAUGGAGGUAUAUUUUGGGUAUUUCGAGGGAAAUGGGGUACAUCCCACACAAUUCCCUCUUUUUUCAAUGAUGGAAUAAUUUAUUAAAAAUUGGAGAACAAGUGCUAUUUUGUUUUGUAAUGAAUUCUGAGAUGAUUUGAGGUUGGGUUUAAGAGGUGUUUAUAAUGAGGAAUUUAAGGAUUGGAAAAUUUUAUGUAUAUUGCAUAGACAUUUUGUAACUUAUGCUUUUAGUAUUAGCAGUUAAACAGUCAAAAUAAAAAAAAAUUAAAGAGAAAUGUUAGAUCAAAUUGGGCUGGGAUUUACAGUUCCUGCGCAUUUAACAUGAAGGAUAUAUUUUGCAGUUCAAAAUUUUUUAUAUUUUUAUCUAUUAACCGCCACACUUAUGUAUUUUGCAAGGAAAAAAAAGACAUAAAUGGAAGUAAUAUUUAAUAUUGAUCAUUAGCAUCAUAUGUUCAUCAUCAAAUAUAAAUUUUCCAAAAUUAAAGACGAAGACGUGAGAAAUAAAGAUAUUCUAAGUGGUAAACUUAGAUACAAAUUCAUCAAUAUUUUUAUCUGAAGUACCACCUUCACUAACGAGUUUUUUUCUUAAAUAUCCCUAAUUUACUCUUAAAUACCAAAUUUAUACUCUAUUACAUACAUAUACCUCAUGAAAAUAGGAAAAGUCAAAAAUAACCUUCAAAAAAUAAAGAAUCCACACAUUUUCUUCCUCUCAGUGCAGGAAGAAGUCGAGUACGAAGUCGGGUAAGUCAAGAAUUUAGUCGAGUAAGAAUUGGAGAUAAGUGAGUCGAGUAUGUGGUCUAGUAGGAAGUCAAGUAAGCAUAUUAAAUGAGUCGAGUAUUAAGUGGUCGAGUAUUAAGUAAAAGUCAAGUAAAUUUUUUGAACAAGUCGAGUAAAAUUUAUGUAAUUUUUAAAGAGGUCGAGUAUUAAGUCGGGUAAGUACAUUGAGUCGAGUAUUAAUAUUUUUAAAAAAGUGAAGUCUGGUAAGUUGAGCAUUCAGUAGAGUAAGAAGCGAAGGCAAUUGAAUAAGUCGAGUAUCUAGUCGAGUACGAAGUCGGGUAUGAAGUUUGGUAAGUUGACCAUUUAGUCGAGUAAUAAGUGAAAGCAAUUGAAUAAGUCGAGUAUCUAGUCGAGUACGAAGUCGAGUAUGAAGUAUAGUAAGUUGAGCAUUUAGUCGAGUACGAAGUUGAGUAUGAAGUCUGGUAAGUUGGGUAUUCAGUUGAGUAAGAAGACAAUUGAAUAAGUCGAGUAUCUAGCCAAGUACGAAGUCAGGCAUGAAAUCUGGUAAGUUGAGUAUUCAAUCGAGUAAAAAGUUAAGGCAAUUGAAUAAGUCGAGUAUCUAGUCAAGUACGAAGUCAGGUAUGAAGUCUGGUAAGUUGAGCGUUCAGUCGAGUAAGAAGUGAAGGUAAUUGAAUAAAUCGAGUAUUUAGUCGAGUAAGAAAUCGAGUAAGUAGAUUGAAUGAGUCGAGUAUUAAUUUUUUAUUAGCAUUUUAUUAAGGUUAUUUUUAUACUUUCCCUAGUUUUUUUAAGUAUGUAUGUGUAAAAUUAUAAAUUUUAAUAGAUUGAGGUAUAUUUUAGGUAUUAUGAGGGAAACGGGGUAUAUCCCACGCAAUUCCCUCUUCACUAACUGCCUCAAUAGCCAAGUCCCUCCAUUUCUUAGCAUUCAUUUUCAUUUCUCUCCCACUUUCACUCUCCAUCACUUCUCUAAUACAACUCUCAAUAUCAUCUCUUUUCACAAUCCCAUCUCCAUCAACCCCAACCCUAACUCCAACCUUCCAAACAUCUUCAAUAAACUUCGCGUCCAUUGUGGCAUCGCCACCAUAGGCACCUCCAAGCUCAAUGCCUCAAUAAUUGAAUUCCACCCAGCAUGUGUUAAAAAGCAACCAAGUGCUUUAUUUGAAAGGACUUCUAUCUGAGGGCUCCAAUUGACAAUCAAACCUUUAUCGCCAAUCUCAUCAACAAACCCUUUUGGGAGCUUGUUUGUUUCCUCUGUGUCUCUUAUUACCCACAGGAAAUAAAAAGAACUUUUCUUCAAGCCCCACGCCAGUUCUUCCACUUGUUUAUUGGCUAAACAAGCCAAGCUUCCGAAUGCCACAUAAACAACAGAUCGUUCGGGCUUUUUGUUGAGCCAAUUGAUGCAGAUGGAUUUGUCUAAUGUGAAGAGAUUGAGGUCGUAACCGUUGUCGUUUUGGAUUCUGCUGUCUAGGUAGAAAGAUGGAAUCGUUGGACCAAUUGUGAGCAUUGGACAGAAUUUAGCCAUUGAAUCCGCCACCUGGUUAGAUAAAAGUUUGUGAAAAUGUUUUAGUGAUCUCAAAAUUGCCUAGGGCUUAUCAUUCAAUAUUUUUUUUCAACUAUUUAUAAUUCACAAAAUCGAUUAUUGGAUUUCCACUUCCCGCAUAUUUUUUAUGGGUAUGUGAAAAUAUCACAUUUAUUUUCUCAAAGUUUCAACGCCAGAAGCGACAUGAAGAAUAAAAUUUGUUCGGAACCAAAAUGAUAUAACAAAUUUUAGAUGAAUGAAAGUGUCAUUCUCCCUAAUUUAAAAUCAUCUUAGAAACAUUUAGAAAAGAACUUACUUUUUAGAAAUAACUAAUUAGCGCUGCCAUUUUUAAAAAAUGGGUCUUUGGAUGCAAAUAUACUACAAAAUGCGUUUUAGAAAAAAAAAAUAAAAAUAACACUAAGUUAAAAGUUAUCAUUAGAUGUAAAAUUAACCUACCUCACUUUCCAACUCAUAGAACGUAUUGACAAACAAAAGAUCAGCUCUAUCUGCGUUGGAGAAUUGAUUCAACACCAUCUCAAAGUAAGCAGAAUAUUGCCCUUGAACACCAAUGAAAGAUGGCAUGUCUUGAAGCUCAAGUAACGGCAACCCCGGAAUCGAAACCGUCGUCGAAGGAACGGGAAGCUUCAAUAAUCCAUGAUGAACAAGAUAAUAUAUAAAGUUAACAGCACAAGUUUGAGUGAAACAAGCGGCAGCAAACAAACCGAAACCUUUUGCAACAUCAAGAGCCCAAUAAAGAAAAGCGUCAUAGACUACACAAUCAAUAGGGUUUGAAGUGCUUUUGUAUUUUGUGAUGAGUUCAGCUAGGGUUUUUGAGCCUGCAGCUUCCAUAUUUUGGAAAAAAGCAUGGAUGCUUUCAGCUUUCGUUAAGUCGCCAUCAUCAUAGCCGUCCGAUAUGGUGCCGAUUUGAACUGAACUGGAGGGCUGUGAUGGCUUGGUGGAUUUGUAAAUGAAGUUUGUUAGGGCUAAAGUGAUUUUGAGACCUCUAGAAGCUAAGCGUUUGGCAAAUUGGAAAGUGGGGUUUAUGUGACCUUGGCUUGGAUAUGGAACUAUCAAGACAUGAGCUCUGUGAAUUUUCUCUUCCAUUUCUCUUUUUUUUUUUUUUUCACUAAUUGUUUUGUGUAGUGAUGGUUUUUUGUCUUGCUUACUACUUGUUCAAUCUUUUAUUUUGGAAAAGCUUUUUAUAGGGGAAGAGUGGGGAAGGCAAAGCAUAUCAGGUGAUUUGCACGUGUGUAUUUGGCUCUUGGGGCUAGAUAAAUUAUUGUGAUUAAUUGCUUGCUUCAUGACUUAAUUAUCUGUUGAGUAUUGAAUGCACGCACAACCUCAAGCUAAUUUUUUAUGAAAAUAUUGUUAAAAAAAAUUAUUUAGUAACAAACGAAUGGAAAUCAAAUCUGCCACGUACUGUCUUAUUGCUUUCGUUAUGUUUUACGAAUAGUUUACAAUAUCCUAUAUAUGACAAGUUUAGAACCAGGUUUACUUACCAAACAAGAAUUGAAUUCACAAACCUGUAAAAGUUGACUUAUAUAAAUUUAAUAUUUUUGUGGUUGAAUUUUAGAUAUGUUUUAUCCCUACCAAUCGUCAUCAUUGUUUUUAAAAUUUAAUUACAUAUUGUCAGCAUGUGGAGAAAUUAAAAAAACUGCGAAAUUAUACUUAGCGUAGCUUAACACAUGACCAACAAAAAUAUUUUAGUUAUUAAAUAUAAAUGAAAAUGUCAAAUGUCACACCCCAACCAGAUAUGAUGAUAUGAUCUAACUUAACAAUGAGCACAAAAAUAUUAUAUGGUGAUGUAUAACAAGCUAAUCUUCAAGGUUUAGUCGAUUUUGCUUAUCUAAUUCUCUUGCAACACUAAAUUUUAAGGCAAAUACUUUUUAGUCACUAUAUCUUAGGUUAAGUACUUGUUUAAUCCUUAUAUUUUGAAAAAUACUUUAAGAUAUCCUUUUUGUUGAAUAUGUGAUUCUCAUACCCUUAUUUGUUUUCCUUUUCAUUUGCAAUAUAAUCCUUAAUACAAAUUUAAACAAUGUUUAAUAGUACAUUUACAAUAAUCUUGCUAAUAAUUACUUAAAAUACUAAAAAAAUUUACUUUUAUUUUUAUUUUACCUUUAGGGUUACUUUGUUAAUUAAUUAUUUUUAUAGAUAAAUUAAUUAAUAUUACCAAGAAUAUUGCUGCAAUGGUAUUAUUAUAAAAGUAAAGAAAAAUAAGAGUCUGAGUGUUAAAUAUUCAACAAUAGAAAUACUUUGAGACAUUUUUUAAAAUGAGACUGACCUAACACUUCGUUCAAAAUAUAAAGAUUAAAUAAACAUUUACCGUAAAUUUUAACCUUCCUCUAUAAUCAUAUCAGCUGUUUCUAUUGUCAAUCCUCUUAACUAAUUGGAAGGAAGACACUUGGGUUCCCAAAAACAUUAAUUUUUUUUUCGUUUAUUCUUUUCCAAAUAUAAUCAUUACAUCCUUGAUCUUAAAAUUGUGACAGAAAAAUAUAAUUUUAAUUUGUAUUCUCUUAUUAUCAUGACAUUACUUUCAAACUAAUUCUAUCAUGCACCGCUUGGAGGGAAAAAAAAAAAAAAAAAAACGUGUUUAGGAAAAUAAGUGACCAUGAAACGACCCACCCCGAACCUUCAAGACGAGUCUAUUUAAUCUCGCCGAAACGAGUUAAUAAUAAUUCUAAUAUCUAAGAGUUCUACCAAAAAUUCGGCAGAGUCUCCUAUAUAAUUAUGACAUCCCCAAACCUGCAAUUUAUACAAUUAACACUCCUAAAAAUGAUACAAUAUUCAAUCGAUCUCCACAACCAACUUCCUCAAUCAAAUAUUAGUAUCCUUCAAACAUAUAAUGCCAAGAAUACAAUAAUUUAUCCUUAAUCACAAAUAAGUAAUAAAUUAUAAAAUUCAAAAUGUCCCAACAAAAUAUAUGUGAUUCCUAACACCAUCAUGUGACCAUAAUAUUAAAUCUAACUAUCGUUGCUGGGUCGACUGAUGUACCUGCAAAUCUCGGGGGGGGGGGGGGAAUAUAAUAAAAAUAUAGUUAGUAUAAAACUCAGUGAGCUCAGUGAGUGGAUAAUAAUUUUUGGAAAAAAUAAAUUUACUUAAAAAUAAUUUAAUUCUUCUCUAAACAAUCUCAUCAAAAUAUCAUAAGACUUUAAAUAAACUUGUUUAAUUUAAAUCAUGCACUCGAAUAACAAUAUUACAUAAAUCUACAUAAAAUCAAUGAAAUCAUAAUACUUAUAAUAUCAAAUACUGAAUACUAAAAACUAUCACCAAACAAGUACCCAAUGGAAUAAUCUCAUCAUAUCCGGACCUCGACGGGCGGGCAAUUAGAGAACCAUUAUGCCCCGGAGCUACAACGGAUAGAUAGGGAAAUGCCAUAAUAUAUCUCAUCAUAUUUUUGCAUGCAUAAUCUGGUCCCAAAAGGACAAGACACCCAAGCACACGACCCAAAGCCUCUGUGUGUACGCAGACGGGCCCCAAAGGCCUAUAUCUCAUCUGUAUCAUCAUAUCUCAUCUGUAUCAUCAUAUUCCAACUCAUCAUAUCUCAUAUGUAUCAUCAUCUUCCAACGGUAUCAUAUUUAUCUUAAUAUCUGUAUCUCUAUAAUCACCAUAUUGCAUGCAUAUUUCCCCCCAAAAGGCAAAAGCGACCAAACACACGACCCAAAGCCUCUAUGUGUGUUUAGAUGGGCCCCAAAGGCCUCUCAUCUCAUAUCAUAUGUAUCACUGUAUCUGGAGGGAUGGGUACUGUCCAAUGAUUUUGUAAACAACCUUUUACACACAUGUACAUAAACAUAUAAUCACAUCUGAAUUCUCAUUUCGUUUUUAUUCAACAUAUCUCAAUUCCACUUAAUUCUCUUUAAAACUAUUAUCAUGAAUUUACUCAAAAGCGAUCAUAAAAUCAUUAAUCAAACUCAUUCUUAAUAAUAAUAAAUAUCAACACGCAGAUAAAAAUCAAUUUUCUAGAAAAUCAUUAAAUCAAAGUAUCAAAUACUUAUUAUGAAAAUAUGUUGUACUGUAAGGUAAAAUCAGAAUAUACUAUAAAAAUAGGUUUUGUAUAUUCCACUCAUAAUGACGAUGUCCAGACUCGGUAUCAACAAGGUCCACGGGUUGAUUCCCCGUAAAUUUGAAAUACAACUAGUUAUACAUAAUAAUUCUCAAAACAAAUAUCUAUCCACAAUAAACUAUUCCCACAGGCACAAAAUUACCAAAAUACCCCUACAUGCCAAAAUUACCAAAAUGCCCCCAGCAUCAUUAUUUUACCAAAUUAUCCUCAGAAUCAUCAAUUACCAAACUGUCCUCAAUUCAGAUCACAAAAAUAACCACAAUAUCAGAAAUUACGAAAUUACCCUCGGAGUGUAAAAUUACCAAAAUACCCUUAACAAUAUAAAUUACUGAAUUACCCCUGAAAUCUCAAAUUACCUCACUACCCUAAUCUAAAAUUACUAAAUUAUCCACCGAUUCCAGAAAUUACAAAUUCACCCCCCAAAGCCUUGUAAAAUUACUAAAUUGCCCCGACCGGUCAACAGUUACCGAACUUAGUCAAUGAUGACGGGAAGCUCAAGACUGAUAGUUCUGACCUCGGUGAGUCCAAUGGUGUUGGCAAUGACCUCCCACGCACAGCGAUUGCGGCAGAUCGUGCUCCCAAAGCCGUGAGCUUUUUGGCGGUCGUUCAUGGCCAAACCGAAGGUUUCAGGUGGCGAGGUUGGUCAAAAAAUGAUGAGGGUGAGCUGAGUAUCAAGAUUCAGGUGGUGGUGCGGCCUAACUCUUGUGGAAUCGAUGGUGACGAAAACGGGUGGAGCCGCGAUUCUUUGAAGCUAAAUCACCAGCGUUUUGGCUGUUUUCCGGCCACGAGGAUUGCAUGGAUACGUUUCCCAUCUCUCAAGCUUCAAAUUGGUACCUGGAUCGGUCGGAGUGGUGGCCGGAAUCAGUGAUUGGCGUCCGGUCAAGGUCGCGGGUUGGGUCAGGUCGGGUCACACGGGUCUCUCUCUUUAUAUUUUUGGAAACCAACUCCUCUCUCUUUCCAUUUAUAGAAAUGGUUCCCUCUUUCUUUCUUUUUUAAAGCUUAAUACAAAUUAAGCUAAUACUAGACCCCAGACCUGUUAUGAAAAUAAAAUCCGACUACAAGACCCUUUAUCGCGUUUGAUUUAUCUCGAUUUAUGUAGUAAUAAAAUUUAAAUUUAUUUAAAACAUGAUCCAUUUAUUAUGGAAUUUCCACCACUAUCAGCAAAUACCUCUGAUAUAAUUUAAGAACUCGACCCCAAUCUAUUAAUUCAUGAUAAGAAAUUGAGCCGCGUCAAGUUUGCCCGUAAUAAUUUGUAACCAAUCUGACGACUUUAAAAUUAAUACUGAAAUGAAAAACACAUAAUACACUUAAUUAGGAAAAAUUAAGGUGUAUAUGUUACAAGCCAGCUGCCCAUUGCAUCCAACAGAAGCUGCUUGCUUUAUCUCUUUGCUUGGCACGUGCAUGUUCCUCCCAUUUGCUUGAGGUGGUGAUUAUGUUUAUAUAAAGUAAGAGUUGUUUGCUUGCAUUUGGUGGCCCAGUUGGUGGCUAUAUAAAUGAAACAUUUUGAGAAUUGCUUCAUUUACUAAAUUUGAGAACUGAGAGCAAAAACAAAGCAAGACAGAGAGAAGAAAAUAAGAGAAACCGAGAGAAAAGAGAAGGAAAAGAAAAAGAAAAGAAGAAAAGAAAAGAAAAGAAAGGAGGAAAAGAAAGAAGCCGAGAGUGAGGAAGAAAGAAAUUGAAAAGAAAAGUUACAGAAAAUAGAAUUGGAUAAUUAGAAUUAUAUCCAUUGGAUCAGUGGGUAAUAGAUUUAUGGAAUUUGAGCAAUUAUGUUACAGUUUGCAUGAUACGUAUACGUUUUUAUAUUAGUUCUAAUAGUUAAUUUUCGAACCUUGUAUUUUAGGAGGAACUCAAGAAUCCAGAAACCUACAAGAGUCAACGAACCCCAGAGUGAAACAUGAUCUAUGAGUAGAUAAUAUUAUUACUAUUAUGUAUUCCGUGAAACAUUUAUGUUUGAUAUUAUAAUUUAAUAUCAUGUUAUGAUUACAUGUACGCAUAUUAUAUGUUUGAUUGAGUCAUGAAAUGUGAUUGCCAGUCACCAUAUAUGUACCCUUCCCCGUAGGCUCUGCGCAUGCGUAUUGAGAGUUAGGUUACUUUACCCCGUGCGAGAUAGUUUAAUUACGCCGGGUAUUGAGAGGUUUUUCCCCCGCUCUACUCAUGUGAAGAUGAUCCCCGCGAGUAUUGAGAGUUAUUUCCCCUGAGUACUAUUUGGUACAGUUUUGUGAUGUAUGUAUAUAUGAAUUCCAUGUUGCUGAUGUAUGAUAUUUAAUGUGGAGUUAUGUCACAUAAUUAUGCAUAAUCACUAGUACACUAUAUUAUUAUUAUUAUUAUAUUAUUAUUUUAAUAUAUAUAAUUACAUCCACUCACUGGGCCGCAAGCUCACUAUUUUCCUAUUUAUCCCUUUUCUCCCAGGAUUCCGCAGGAUUUCAUGCAGAUAAGUUCUAGUUAAUUGAGGUUGGGCCCUGAGACGCAUUGCUGCAUGUCUUGCAUUUUGAGCACGUUUAUAUUGCUUAUGUUUUAUUUGUAAAUAUACAUGUAAUGUCAGUAUGUACAAUGAGAUAUAAGGUAUGCAAGUUUUGAAUUCAUAUAUAAUUUCAAAAAAGGCACAAAGGUUGUUAUGCGUGUCUAAGAAAGGCCUAUUAUGUACAUAUUUUCAUGAAUUAAAUUUAUGCCACAAGUUUUAGUUAUUAGUCCGCACGAUUCGUCUCAAAUCCGACAUGGAGGUCGGGGCGGGUCGUGUCAAAUUCAGUGUGUUUGUCAAGAUUGAGUUUAUGAGUCACUAAGAUUGAGUAGCCAAAAUUCAGUUUAUGUAUCUAAUUUUUAAUUCCCCUCCCCCCUUUCAUUGCCUCUCUUUGCGUAAUGUAAGUGGCCAAUAUUAAGCUUUGUAUUUUAUAUUGACAACCAAGCAAAUUUUUUUCACUUUAUUUACAAUCUAUUGGAAAAUUACAACUUAAAUUAAACAGUAAAAUUUGAACAUUAAAAUUAUAGCAUCAAGAAUAGAAUAAAUGUUCUUUUAAUUAGUAUCUACAUUUUAAGUCAUUUAUUUAAUUAGUCCUUGUAUUUUUUAAAUUAUCCAAAACACCCUCCUAGCUAUUUUCGUGCCUGUCUAUCUCACUUUUUAAUUGUAAAAUAAUAUAACUUUAAACAAAUCUGACAUGCUACAAGUGCAAAGUAGAUAAUAAAUAAGUUUUAGUAGGAAUAGAGACAACAAGGCUCUUUUGACAAUCUUUUAUAAUAUAAAGACUAGUAGGAUAAUUGCCAAUGGGCUUAUGGCCCAUUGGCACACCCAUGAGUCCUAACAAUGCUAGUGUUGGGACUUGACUUCCCUGUAUAAUAAGAGUUUAUUUGUCUCUUCAUGACAUUGGGAUAAAAUCGAUUUCUUUCUAAUAUUAACAGUGAGGGUAGAUUUCUCUCCAAUUUUAAGUGAGGAUUAGCAUUCGGGCUGUACUAUAAUAGAAUUAUUUAGGAGAGUCCCGAUUGAUCUUUGAUUGUAAAUAGUAGAGCUUUGUUUGUAAUUUAUCGGUGUAUCAAAAAAAAAAAAAAACUAGUAGGAUAAUUGAUUUAGACUGUAGAGAUCAAAGGAACAAUUGGUUAGAAAUAUAUAAGUAAUUUAAAAACCAAGGAACCAAGUGAAAAAGAAAAUAAAAGGGGAACUCGCCUUAAAUUUUUAUUACUCAAAUUCAAGUGUACCAAUCACCCAACCAGGAACGUCAAGCAAAUUUGCCCAUGAUAAAUCUAUUCUUCAAUUAUUUUAUGCCUCUUCCUUUCAGGAUUUAUAUUUUGCAUGUAGGUGUACUUGGUGAUUGGGGAAACACCCCCUUUGAAAUCCUUGUAAAAUCCCUCAAUUACGUAUAACCCAUUAAGAUUACACGUACAGGUAACUCACACUUGAUUAAGAUGUUUCAGCAAUGGGUGCAACCGCUACCAUUUUGUGAUGUUUCAGUAAUGGCAUUAUUUGUCCAUUUCAUUUUAGACUUGGACCACAACCGUAUUGUGAUGUGAAUAAUUAUAGAGUGAUGAUACAACCACAAACUCUUGUAUAAACUUAUUUAUACAAACUAAUGUGGCAUUAAUUCAUUGGUUGAGUAAAAAUAUAAAAUAAUAGAAACAAAUCACGCGGGCCAAGAGAUAUUUAAUUCAACUAAUGAAUUAAUGCCACAUCAGUUUGUACAAAAUAAGUUUGUACAAAAAUUUGUGGAUAUAUCAUUACUCAUAAUUAUAUUAUAGGGAAUGAGAAAAUUAUUCUUGUGGUCAUGAAAGUACGAUUGAAUACAACCCAUCACCACAGACGACAAUCAUAGCAUACUAAAAUUUGAUGACAAGAAGUAAUUAUGUUGCGUAUAUUUAAAGGAUUAUGUUCCUUUUCUUGUUUUUUCCCCUCGUAAUCUCUCUUUGUUUUUCAAAUCUAUUUUUUAAAAAAUUAAUUUAAUUAUAAAUAAAGUUAAAAAAAAGAUAGCUUGAUUGUCAAUAUUAAAAUUUAAAAUUCAAUUUUAACCACUUCUUUAACAAAAAAAGACCAUUAGAGAGAGUUGAAAAAAAAAAAAAAACGCCUUGGCCGUACAGCAGAUCCACUCACUGAGCCGCAAGCUCACGGUGAUUAAUCUACCCCACACUUCCAAAAAAAUUAUAAAAAUUCACAUUACUUAAUUUUAAAAAUUCCAAAUAAAGAAGAAAUUAGGAUAAUUAGACAAAUAAAAUCCUCAUUAAUUUCUUUUUUUAAUACUCAAUUUGCAAGGUCUCAUGACCAUCUCUGACUGCUAAGGUGCUUUUAAUAUAUGUUUAAUUAAUUUGAUUACUUUAGUCUUAUCAUAAGGUAAAAAUGCUAAAAUACCCACAAAAUUAUUUUAACUUCAAUUAUUUUUAAUAAAAAAUCAAAAUUUAUGCUAUUUACACUAUUCAAGAUGGGUGUUACAUCGUGAAAAUAGGAAUUAAUUUGAGCCAAUAGUCAACAGCAACAUGCUUAUUGUUCAAAUAAAAUUGAAGAAAAUUAAGGAGAUAAGAGCCUUUAUAUUUUGCCUCUCACCUAGGCUACAUUCAAAUUUUCUAUUUUCUUAUUGCUAGCUAAUAAAAGAAAAUGUAGUGACAUGUGGUAGAAUCUAAAACUUUUGUCAGUCGGAAAAGAAGGAGACACGGAUUGCAUCUUAGGGUCCGUUUGGUGCAGUUGCGCCGCCACAGCGUAGCUGCUCCCCCUGCUUUAUUCCAGGGGAUAUUCUCCUAAAAUAAAGCAUGGGGAGCAGCUGCGCUGCCUGCCCCAAACGCUCUCUUAAUUUCUUUAUACUACCAAGUGUCUAACUCAGACUGGGGAAAAAAAUACGAAAUUGUCUAAUGCCUGGAAAAGAAUGAAUGCAUAAUUUGUGUGUGGAAGAAAAAAUUAAUUAAUAGGGCAAGUGAUACGGAAAUAGACAUAAACUCACAUUAAACAUAUAUACCAUGAGGGUCGCCUUGCAAAAAUAGAACUAGUUUUUUUCAAAUACACAUGUGUACUGGAUAAAUGCUUGUUUAGUACUUAUAUUUUAACUUAAAUAUUCAUUUAGUUUUUGUAUUGUAAAAAAUACCUUAAUAUACCCUUGUUAUUAAAUAUAUUAUAUUCUUACUCUUACUUUUUCUUUACUUUUAUAAUAAUAUCCUAACAACAAUAAUCUUCACAUUAAUGAAUUUAUCUGAAAAAAAAUAAAUAGCAAAUUAACAAAAAAUUAUCUAUUAGUAAAUUAACUAUUAUAUAUUAGUAUGAAAUAACUAGUAUUUUUUGUAUCUUUAAUUUGCAACAAUCUUGCUAAUAAAUGUUUAUAAAUUAAUUAAUAUUAGCCAACUUAAAAUAAUUUUUAAUAUCUUUUCAACAAUCUUACUAAUAAUCGUAUUUAAAAUUUUAAUUUACUAAACUAAUCCUAAAAGUAAAAUGACACAACUUAAAAGUAAUUUUUAACUCCCAAGUAUAAGAGUGUCUUGUUGUAUUAUAGCUCAGUGAGUCUGAGAUCGAUACAUAGAGAAAAGAUUUAAUUUGUUUAUUUUAUUUUAUCUAAAAAUUGAAAUUAAAACUUGAAUAUAAACAACUUAAUUUAAAUGAAACUAUGAAAUUGAAUUAGUUAGGGUUGUGAAUCCAUUCUUACUAGUAAAUAAAACUUAAUAAAUUCUUUUUGCCAUUUGUUUUAGAUUUAUUGACCAAAAGAUUAAUUAUAUAAAUUAUUAUUAUUUUCCCUUUAAUUUUAUGAUGGAUUAAGUAUUUAUUGUGCUAAAAUUUAAUUCGUCUACAAUAAGUCAAAAUACCAUUUUACCAUGCCUUGUAUUAAGAUAUUAAGAAUUUAUUGUGCCAAAAUCCCUUUGUUUGUCUACAAUAAAUCAAAAUUUCAAAAUAUAAAAAAUAUAUAUAAUUAAAUAGAACUGCUGUACGGCCAAGGCGGUUAUAAAAAUAAUUAUACAAAAUAUUAAAAACACACCUGAAAAUAAGAUUACAGGGAGAUGGAGAGAAUUUGAGAAGAAGAGAGAUGUAGAGAGAUGAUUAAAAACAUAAAAAUAAGACUCUAUUUAUAGAAAAAUAAAUUGAUAAUCUAGUGUUUUGCGGUCCAUCAUAAGCUUCAUGCAUGUGCUCCUCAAAACCUUUAGAUCAAGAUCCAACGGUUGGUCAAACAUCAAAGUCAACAUCACACGUGGCAUCGUUUGACUCGUCCGAUUUGGCCAAAGAACGGUUGUGAUUUGCCGGGUUAAUAGGUGGAUCGGGUCGACCAGAAUAUAAAGAUUCGGAUCGUACAACUUGCUUCAGCAACCAUUGCCACGUGGCAAAAUUAUAGCCAUUGAAUCAUGAACUGUUGAGAUUUAGUCAAAAUUGCUAGCUAUUCCAUGCACUCAAAUCUAUUAUAAGCUUAUUUCAUCAUCCAAUCAGUGAUCGGUCAACAAAAAAAGUCAACUCUUUUUACACAAGCCUAGUUUUAAGUCGAUCUUAACUGAUCUUAAAGUUUUCGGACCUCCGGAAUCCAAAUUUGACCUCUGUUUAUCUGUUUGGAUCCUCAAAUCACAUGAAAUUAAUAUUUUACCUAAUAAACACACAAAAAUACACAAAAUUAGAUAUAUUUAAUACAUCAUUAAUAAUUCCUAAUAUAUUGUAUAAACAAAAAUAUAAAUUAUAACAUAAGAACAAAAUAACAUUAUUACCGUUUGAUAAUUAGACAAUUUUUAACUUUAAUCACAAAACAAUAAUAUAAAAACAUAAAUUAAUUUUUAUUUAUUUUUAAGGCUAAUUUAAUGAAUUAACUUUUUUUCGUUAAUAUCCCCAAAAAUCUUAUUGUAAGUGUAUUACUGUAGAAAUAAAGAAAAAAAUAAGGUGAGAAAUGUAAUAUAUUUCAGAGUAGUGGUGUCUUGAGAUAUUUUUUGAAAAUAUAAUAACUAAAAGAAUUUUUAAAUUAAAAUAUAAAGAUUAAAUGAACAUUUACCAUGCAGCAAUACAAAGAAGCACACUUCCUAUUUGAACCAUGUCCUUUUUAUUUUCUCCAUUUACCUUUACCUUAAGUCCAUCCCACCCUAUGAAAAUGAAAGCUUCCUAGUGUGAGGGGAAUGGAUCCCAAAUACGCUAUUCUCGAAGGAAUAUAUUUAAUGUGAGCUUAAAUGGAUUACAAUUUUUGCCCUUCAACUGUGUGUUUUGUAAAUGAUUGAACAUCGAUCAAUGGUGAAAUCGGGUAUUACAAAUUUAUCGAAGACUAUAUUAAAGUGAUAAAAAUGAAUUCAAGGAGCGGUGUGUUUUCUGUAUCUGCUGUAGGAUCCUAACAGGUAAUUUGGGUGAAUUUUUUUUUUUAAUUUAAAAGAAAAGCCAUGUAUUAUAAUAAAUUAAAUUUACAAAAUUUUAGUAAAAUAAUAAUUUUAAAUAUUUUAAUAACUUAAAUUUGAGAAUAUUUUAACAAAUUUUCGCAGAUGCCCUGUUUUCUUGUAGUAAUAACAGUAUAACACAAUAAAAAGACCCACUUGUAUUCUAGUGAUUUCUCGAAUUUUCUUCGUUUCGCUUCUUUGUGUUUUCACUAAGCUUUACUUGACGCCUUGACUUGUUGACUUCUAAUCGAUAUCGAAUCCUGAAUCGCUUUAAUUCUCUCGCAUUGUUUCUAUAAAUUUAGCUCCCAGUGUGCAUGUUUCUGAGCCACUGUUCCAUUUCAAUACAAAUGGGGUCACCCACUCUUGAAUCUUGAUACAGUAGUUUCUUCACCUGUCUUCUUGAUCCUAUUUUUCCUUUAAAAUUUUUCACUUCCUGGUUCUUCUGAUUCGGUUGAAGAGGCUCAAGCUCUUCUAAAAUGGAAAGCCAGCCUUCAAAGUCGUAACUGAUCUCUUCUUCCGUCCGGGAUUAACGCCACCACAAAAUGUUCCAUCCAAUAAGUUAAGCCCGUGUGCUUGGUCCAGAAUCAGUUCCAAUGACGCUGGAAGAGUCACCAACAUCAGCCUCGCAAAUACAAGAUUAAAGGUACGUUUAGAGUGAGGUGCUGUAACUUUUAAGUUAAACUAUUGAGUAAAAGCCAUCAUUGUGGACUAAAAUUGAAAAAAAAUGCAUGUUGAACUGCCAAAACCUAGCUGCAAGGUGUUACCAAACACCUUGGGAGCUGGGCUUUGGGCAACCCAACUGCCACACCAUUCCCAAACGCACCCUAAGUGAUACGCUUCGUGAAUUCUCAUUCUCAUCGCUUCCUCAUCUUGCUUAUCUUGAUCUCAGCUUUAAUGAAUUAUUUGUUAUCAUCCCGCCUCAAAUCGGUAAUCUCUCCAAGCUCCAGUUCCUUUCGCUACACGCUAAUGAUUUUUCUGGAAUAAUACCUCCUGAGAUUUGCCUUCUAACUCGUUUGGAGGUUCUUUUCUUGCCCUCCAACUAUUUGAAUGACACAAUCCCUCCUUCUUUAUGUGAACUGAAAAAUUUGGUUCGGUUGUUUCUUAUUGAUAAUUGACUUUCUGGUUAUUUACCCCAACAACAUUUGUCGAGGUGGAGCACUAGAGUUUUUUGGUGUCAGUGAAAACCAUCUUCAUGGAACAAUUCCUAAAAGCUUGAGAAAUUGCACAAGCUUAGUCAGAGUACGCCUUGAUGGAGACAAUAUUAGUAGAAAUAUAUCAGAAGCUUUGGAUAUUUAUCCUAACCUGAAUUUCAUAGAUCUCAGCUGCAACAAUUUUUAUGGUGAAAUCUCAUAUAUUUAGAGGAAAUGCCCAAAAUUAGGUACUCUCAGUGUUUCGAUGAAUAACACUACUGGAGGUAUACCAUGUGAGAUUGGAAAAUCAUCUCACCUACAUGCAUUUGAUCUUUUGUUUAAUCAUUUAUUUGGGGAGAUUCCAAAUGAACUUGGAAAAUUAAAUUCUCUAAGCAAGCUCAUUCUGAAAUGGAAUCAAUUUACUGGACGUCUACCUCCAGAAAUCAGAUCAUUCAGUAAACUUGAGGACCUCGACUUGUCUAUAAAUAGAUUCAUCAGUUCAAUCCCAGAAUGUCUAGGCAAAUUGCUGAAAUUGCAUUACUUGGACUUGAGCAAGAACCAGUUUUUUCAAGAAUUGCCAAAGGAAUUGGAGAAGGUAGUUCAACUUUCAGACUAAGAUUUGAGUCAACUUUCUUAGAAGAGAAAUCCCGUAUCCGAUCUGCAAUGUGGAAAGCUUGGAAAGGUUGAACCUCUCCCACGGAAACCUCUCUGGUUCAUUCCAAAUUGCUUUGAAGGAAUGCAUGGCUUGUCAUUUAUUGACGUAUCAUACAAUUAAUUACAGGGCUCAAUUCCUAAUAGGAGCUCCAGUUGAAGUGUGAAAGGAUUGCAAGCAUGUAAAGCUCUAAGGUCAUAGAAACAAAGUUCUAGAGCCAAGUAAAUCAUAAUACUAUUCCCUCCUUUAGGAGUACUAUUUGUUUCAGUAGCACACGUUAGCAAUUUGCUUUGGUUUUUGAAAACGAAAGUCAGACUCAGAACGACAGAGCAGCCAAGUAGCCAACAGAACCCUCAGCGGUUGCUUUUGAUAUUAAAUUUCGAAGGGAAAAUCAUGUGCGAUGAAAUCAUUAAAGCAACAAAGGAUUUUGAUGCAGAGUCUUGCAUUAGAAAUGGUGGACAUGGAAAUGUUUAUAAAGAUGAGCUACCAUCUGUUGAAAAUUGAUUUAAAAAAAAAAAAGAGGAAAAAAGAAAGGUAGCUUCAAAUUUGGUGGCUUAACUACCAAAUUUGUUGAUCAAAUUUGAUGGCUAAGCCACCAAUUUUGAUCAAGAUUGGUGGGCUUGAUUUUAGGCAAAAUCUUGCCUAUAAAAGGAAGCUCUCAUUCGAGAGCUUGGUAUCCCAAAUCCCAGAGAAGGAAUCCAAGUUUUGGUGAGAAAUUAAGAGAGAGAAAUAUUUUUAAGCAUGUAGUUAUAUUGAAGGAGCAUUUGACUCCUCAAUAUGGGUAUUAUGAGUUUGUUUUGUUAAGGGAUAUUUCUCAGGAUUAUGUAUUUGGGGCUUGGAUGAGAGAAAAUUAUUUCUGAGAGUGGUUCUAAUAAUUUUCCACAUAAUGAAUAUUUUUCUCUGGUUGUCUCUCGACAACGGCUGUGAUUUUUCUCCGAAUUUAGAGUUUUCCACGUAAAUCUUGUGUUGUGUGAUUAGUGUAUUCUCCAUUUAAUUUUCUUAUUAAUUUGUUGCUUGAUAAAUUGCUUGGAUUGAUCUUGAGAGGAACCUCAAUUUCCUAACACCAUCUGGGGAAAUCAUUGCUGUCACGAUAUUCCACUCGCCACUUCCUAGGAAUCAAGUAGCAGAUCAUAAAGAAUUCUUGACUGAAGUUGAGGCAUUGAUUGAGAUGCGACAUCGAACAUUGUGAAGUUUUAUGGUUUUUGUUAAAAUGUUCGACACUCCUUUUUGGUUAAUUUAUAAAUUUCUUGAAAGUGUUAGCUUGGCCGCCAUCUUGAGCAAUGAUGAAGCCGCACAAGAACUGAGUUGGAGUCAGAGACUGAAUGUGCUUAAAGAAGCUGAUGGCCUAUCUUACUUGCACCAUGAUUGCUUUCCACAAAUUGUCCAUCGAGACAGAUCAAGCAAGAAUAUGUUGCUGGAUUUGGAAUAUGAAGCUCAUAUUUCUGAUUUUGGAAUUUCCAAGUUUCUCAAGCCAGCUCGUCCAAUUGCAGUGAAUUUCCAGGCACUUACGGAUACAUUGCACCAGGUAAGGAUUGGAUCACGCCGUGGUUUUUUGAUCAAUUUAUAAUUAGUUGCAUGGAGCACACAGGUUAUGUAUACAUUUAUCCUUCACUUUGCAGAGAUUACUUACACAAUGAAGAUUACAGAAAAAUGUGAUGUUUACAGCUUUAGAGUGUUAGCAUUGGAAGUGAUAAAGGGGAAGCAUCCAAGAGAUUUUGUUUCCUCAAUUUUGUGUUCAUCUUCGAUCAUCAACAUAACACUCGAUGAAAUUUGGAUCUCAUCUUCCUCCUCCAUCGCGGAUUGUUCAGGGCAAGUUGAUAUCAAUUAUGGAGGUUUCCUUUUCAUGUUUAGAUGCAAGUCCAGAAUCAUGACCAACAAUGCAGAUAAUUGCGCAAUAAAUUCGUAUUUAGCUUGGUUUAUUUUUCUCAUGCAAACUUGUAGUAGUUGCUCUUUUCUAUCUAUUUAAAUAUUGUUCUACUUCUGAACAGAUGAUGAGGCAUAAGGCCGUUAUGUGUCCUCUUAACCAGUUGCGUGCUGUACCGUUUCUUCUCUCAAUAAAAUAUUGCUCAUGCCGUCAAGGUUCAAUCAAAAAGGAAACAAUAAAGGACUAUUAGUCACUGUGUCAAGGACCUUUUGGCUCAUUAUGUUGUAUGCAACAAAAGACAGCCACUCAACCUCAAAUCCUCAAAGACGUAUUAGCUUCACUUUUGCAACAACUAAACGACAAGCCCACUUUACAUUAAUCCCCACGUCUAGCUCAGCUACCUAGUGCUGGCAAUAUGGGAUCAUUAGAGAUACUAAAGAUUUUCAGAAAGAAAUUAGGGCUAGUGAAGUAUCAGCAUAUGGGACCGACGUGAAAACAUUUGAGGAAUUGGAUUAGGCCUAUGUUAAAGAAUUUCGAAAAGUAAGGGGGGACUAAAUGUUUAUAGUGGCUUGAUUUACAAGACAUCAGUUCUCUAGUCAGUAUUGCCUAGGAAGCCUCGUUCACGUAGCACUAGCAGUGCCACAAUUAAUGGAACUUGGCCUAGCUUUUGAAGCAUCAAAAAGAACUUUUGUUUUGAUUAUAAAAAAAGCAGGAAACAACAAAAAAGAAGACUUUGUCUUUCAUGUUGGGUUUGAAUCUGUUAUUACAUACAAAUUAAAUACCCCAGGACCAAGAUGACACUCUCAAGAACUGAAGCAAGAGUAAUAAGAAUCAAAGAAACAGAUCAAAUAAAAAGACGAACACACAGAUUUUGAUAGUUCAGCCACCAAGUUGCUUAAUUCCAACCAAGAAAUAAGUCGAUUUCUUUGUUGUUAAAAAACUUACAGAGAACAAUUUACAAGAAGAAACCUCUUUCUAAUUCUCUCUCUAAAUUCACAAAUCUAUCCUUGAAUUAAUGCCAAAAACCACCCUUUAAUAGCUGGUGUUUUUAAGCCCACAAACUGAUACCAGAGCGUUCCCUCUUUUUCUAACAAACUUAACAAAAGUUUGACAUGGUCAGAGCAAGUGACUCACGUGUGUGUCACAUGCGAGAACCAAUCGGCGCCUGGACUUAAACGAUUAAAACGCAAAACUUCAAUAGGCAAAACACUGUCGUUUUGCGCCUGCAUUGUUGAUUUACCAUCAGCACUAGAGAAAUGGAUGUAAAGUUUUGAAAACAAAAUAAAAGUCUCUCUGUCUCAACCAUUUUAAUAUCUUAAUCAAAGGCCAUAUUUGUGAUGGAAAACUUAGGGGUAUUGAAAAGCCAAACCCAAACUAUAUAGACUUUAGAGACACUCAGACAGUGUGUGUUUGUUGAAGGGCAAUUAAUUAAUGGUCUACUUUCCGUUUCUUUCUCUGCAUAAUUUUUGGGGAGACAAAUGGCCAGUAAAAAAGUUUUUUUUUUCUCAUAGUUUGGAUCCAAAGAAGCAUUAUUUUGUCAAUUUGUCCAUUAAUCUUGAUCACGAAUGUUAAUUUGUUCUAUUUUCUGGGAUGACUCUUCAUGGAGAUUCAUUGUGGCUACAAGAAGAGACAAUCAGUACAAAGAUUGAUCUGACAGAACUGCAACAAAUGAGCAUUUUAUCUGGGUAAUCUUAAUAUCCUAGAUACUUUAAAGACUUUUGCCUUAGUAGCAAGGGAAAAUUCUUCCCUACGUUAAAGGUCUUGAUCAGGCAUUGACUCGUUCACCUCUCAACUAAUUGCUUUUGUAAGCUAUUUUGAGUACUCAAAAUCUGAGCAAUAAGGCCUUGAGCAAGGCAUAUGCUUUUUUGGCAUAUUUUAUUUGGCUCCCCUGUAUUAUGCUGUAUUUACAGCAUACCUGAUUUUUUAACUCUUUAUUUUCAAAAUUUAAAGAGAGCCGUUAGCCUCAAGACAAUCCGUUGACCUUUUUACUUUGGAUCGAUUCUGUUGAAACUAAACUAGAUUAAGCACUGAUUUAGAUUCCCCAAGAUCCACCUUUAUAAACUCAAGAUUCCAGAAUAUACUUAGCUUUAAUGGCUGAUGAAUUAAUUGUAACUCAAACAAGAAACUCAAAGAAAAACAGAGACAAGAUACACAAACACUUGACACCAAUGAUUUAUAGUGGUUCGGCCACAGAGUGAGCCUACAUCCACUGUGAAGGAGAAGAAGAAUUUCACUAUCUGAGCUUAUUGAAGACACAAGUUCUUGAGAAAGUGUUACAGAAUCACAUACACUCGAGAUCUCACUGCACCAGUCAGCUGCUAACGCCACCUGGGUUUGUUGUGAAGAAACCCAGUUUUUGCCUGCGUGAUAAUAGCCUUUAAUGGCCUUUUGAACCUCUGGUAGCCACGUGUUAUGCCUCCAUUAGUUCUUGAGCACAAAACGGCACAAGUCCCUGUCGUUUUGAAUGAGUAAUACCCGUGUUGCAUCACGUGUUACUUAUUUGUUUUACCGACAGAUCAAGAAUGUCAUCCAGCUCCCUGAACCUCUAUGACUGACAUGUCAUAUUCAAUCCAAAGAUUAAUGUGACAUGUCGUAUGUGUUAUAGAGUUUCAGAUUUGAGCUUCAUUUCUAACAGAUUCCUUACCUUCUACCAUUUUUACUGUAAGGCUCAUAUGAUCAGCUAGGAUAUCACCAAGGAGAUGUAGUUCAAAUGACUUAGAAACAUGAGAUUUUUGAUGAAAUUUUCCUAAGAGAAAAAUAUAAAGAUUAUUGUAAUUCACAACUGAUGAAACUUAUUAAAGAUUACAAGACCAUUUGAUUCCUUAAUUUUGGCAUAUUGAUUCAAGACUAUUUUUUUUAUCAAAGCUACUGGUAAGAGCUAGAUGAAUUAAGAAUAAAAGCUGGUUAGGACUAGGAUUCAAUGUUGAACUACUAUGCAUGACAACCAUUAAUUCAAGACUAUAAGGCUAUUAUGACUUGCAUAUAUGUGAAGAAUUAAUAUCAUUAUGCCAUAAGUACAUGUAAUAAAAAUCACGACUAUUAUAUACAUUUUAAAAUAAAAAGAAUCCAAAGGUAUUGUAUUUAAUCAUUUAAUUUUUUAAUUAUAUUUUUGUUCGCUUGCACAAAUACAUCUUUGGGCCACAUUGAAUAUAAGAGUGAAAGUUUAUUUUCUCCUUUAUUAUUACUAUUUUUUUAACGUAGAGAAAAUUUGUUGGUGCCCGACGAAUAUCAAAGAACUUCUAAAUUGAAACACGGGUGGAACACAACACUACCUUUUCACAUUACAUUAGUCAGACGAAAAAAAAUUAUUUAACUUGCGCAUGAUGAUGGAGGAGUUAGUAAAGAGAUUUCUCCAACAUCAUUUGGUAAUUGGCAUUGGCUUUAAGUAUCUAACUUUGAUUUUUUAGAAGGGAUAUUAUUAUUUUACUAAUAAAAUUAUUCUGACAUAUCAUAUUAGUAUUAUAGUUUGCCGAAAAGUGCAUUUUAUUACUAUCAAAUGUUUGCGUCAUUAUCAAUUCACUACCAUUUCGUUAAAAAUAUUAAAAAUUUGAUGAUGUCUUGCUGAUAUCAUAAGGGUAUCAAAGACAUUUUCAGCUGUAAAAGUAAAAUUAUUUGUUAAUUUGAUAAAUAAAUUAUCAUUUUACUACCAAUGUUUUAGGAGAAUUAUUAUUUUACUACCAAACUAUUGGGGGUAAAAUCGACUUUUAACUCAAUUUCCAUUAAAUAUUAACAUUUUCUUAACGGAAUACUAGUGAAUUGAUAACGGCGCAAAUGUUUAAUACUAAAAUGCACUUUUCGGUAAAUUAUAAUACUGACAUGAUAUAUCAUAAUAACUUUGGUAGUAAAAUGAUAAUUUUUCUUUUUAAAAAAAAAUUAUUAUUGUCGUCAUUGCUUAUGUGAAGAAGAAGAAAAAGCAAAGAACACCCCAGCAAUAUCCUUGGUCCCAUGACCUAUUGUUUUCUUUGUUUCGGAGUAUUUGUAAUUUUGUCAAUUGUUAUUAAUGCCGGACAAAGACAUUUAUGAGCGCUUAAUUUUGGGUAUUUUUCAAUUACUUUUUAACAACUAUAAAAUAUAGCAAAGAGAAAAAUACUUACCAAUUUUUAAGGUUUUCAUAUUAGCAACACUUAUUAAAAAAUCGUUAAUUAACCAAACGCAGAAAAUUUCUUAAUGAAAGAAAAUUGAGUAACACGUUUUCAAGAGAACAAUUUAUAGGAUUAGUAUUGUCACAAGAUAUGAACAUUUUUUAGCAAAGUUUAUUUUGAUCAUCGAUGGAAUUGGAUAAAUAAAAAAUAAAAAAUUGAUUUAAUUCUAACCAUAAAAUAUUAAUUAUAAACACGUGACAUAAGAGCUUUAAAAGUUUAAGUGAGCAUAAAUAAUUUUAAUUCCAAUUUGUAACUCUCAAAAUAAGCAUGAAAUUUGUACAAACAAAGAGCUAAACAUAAUUAACAUGAAUAAUACAUUUUACAAUUCAAAAUAAGGGCCUGAUUGGAAUUGCAUUUGAUAGUAUCAAAAGUGAAUUUAAAAAGUUAAAAGUUAAUUUUGUUGUUAAUUAAUUUUUUUAAAAAUCACUCUAGUAAAAUCAUCUCAUCCGACAAUAGAUUUUAAAAGACAGGAAAUGAGUAGCUUUUUAAAAUCAGAUUUUGAGAAUCACUUAUAAACUUAAUACAAUUCUAUAUAUAUCCUUAUAUACCUUAAUAAAAAUCCAGAUUUAUUCUUAUUAAUUAGGAAAUAAAACCAUUAACUAUGAAGACAUUAUUAUUAUUACUAAUUAUAUUGAGAUAACAAAAUAAAAAAUAAUAUUAAUAAUAUAAAUAUAUUAUUUUAGUUAUUAAUUAUUAUAUGUACAUAAUAAAAAAUAUUUAUACACAUAUUUAUAAAUAUUUAAAUAAAUUUUAUUCAAUAUUAUGUUUAGUUCAUUUGUUUACAUUCUUACAGUAGUUUAACGGUAAGAUUUACUAAACAAAUAUGACUGUUUUUAAAACUCACAAUACUUUAAAAAAUAAAAUUUAUCAAACAUUUAACUAAUUCUCUUCACAGCUGAUUAUUUUUACAGCAUAGUUAAGAACAAUUAUUCAUUCUCAUUUCUCUCCCACUUUAACCCUCCAUCACUUCUCUUAUGCACCUCUCAAUUUCAUCUCUUCCCACAAUCCCCUCUUCAUCAACCCUAACCCUAACUCCAACCUUCCAAACAUCUUCAACAAACUUUGCAUCCAUUGGCUGAUCUGUCCACUGUGGCACCGCUAAGCUUAAAGCUUCAAUAGUCGAAUUCCAACCAGCGUGCAUGAAAAAGCAACCUAUUGUUUUAUUUGAAAGCACUUCUAGCUAAGGGCUCCAAUUCACAAUCAAGCCCUUAUCUCCAAUCUUAUCAACAAACCUUUUGGGAGCUUGUUUGUUUCAUCAAAAUCUCUUAUUACCCACAAGAAAUAAAAACAACUUUUUUUCAAGCCCCACACAAGUUCUUCCACUUGUUUAUUGCCUAAACAAGUGAUAGAGCGGGCGUAGCGGAAGCGGAAUUGAUAUGGUAGGAAACACUUAAUAUCAUUCUAGUACUAGACAAAGCCAACGUAAUUAGGUUACACUCUAAUUGAAAUGUAAUUGGAUUUUAUUCUAAUCCAAAUGACUCAAUGAGAUUUUUAAUAACGCUUAAAAUAAGAUUAGAUGACGCUCUAAUUCAAACGACUCUAUAAGAUAAAUUUUGAUAGAUAAUCCAAGAGGAAAUUAUAAAAGAGGGGUUUUAUUAAAUAAUUGAAUCUGAAGUUAUGAAUACAAUAACAAGACCUUUAUAUUAAUAAUAGAAUAAACCUACUUCCCUAAGUUAACGUAAAAAGGAAAACUAAAUCACAAUUAUAAUAGAAAUAGAAGACUAAGACACAUACCAUAAUUGACUUUAAUUGAAAUAGAAAGUCAUAAAAAAAAUUCUAGAAUCUUAAAUUAACGUCCUACAUCAUUCUCCCCCUCCUAAAAGAAACUUAUCCUUGAGUUUGAAUAUAUUUAGGAGGGUGAAACUUGUAGUGUAAGACCAAGUCAUCUUGUAAUUCGAACUUAUUGUCUUUCUCAUCAAUCUUUCUCAAAACCAUACUUCACCAAUUUCCUUAGCUUAUACAUUCUUAAAAGUGAUGAAGACUUUCAAGAACGAACAACGGUCAAAUAACUUUUGCCUUUCCCUAAUCGUCGCUCAAUUCGCUUUCCAAUGAACUUUACCUUUUCAAUUAAAUCUCUUUCAAACACAACUUUUUUAUCUUUAAUGUGAAGAGAUAAAACCAUUUUGAUCAAUUCAUCUUCUUUAAUUCGAUUUUACUGCACAACCUUGACCAUAUUAUUAGGCUCAAUGCUCAAGUCAAAAUGAGGUUAUUCAUCUUUCUUAAAAAAUUUAGAUAGAUCAAUAACCUCAUCAUCUUUUACAUUUGUCUUGUCCUCUAAUGAAACAUCGUGCACAUUCGCACACAAAUUGUCAAAUUGAAACUUUAAGUCAAUAAUGAAUUGUACCUUUUCUUCUGCAACAUUUGGCACAUCUUCAACAUAUGGAGAGGCACAAACUUCUUUUAUCUAUAUGUCUUUCACUUUAAGCUACUGGCUUGUGAUAGGACUAAGGAUUUCAAAUUGGUAUCGAGGAUAAGGUUGUCGUAAUUGCUUCAAUGUUUGGCUUAUUUCCUUUCUGAUUUGUGAUACAAUUUGCGAUUCAAUUUGCAUCAAUAAAAGAAUUACAUGUUGCAAGGUGUAUAUAGUGUAUGUAGGUAUCUUGUCUUUAAUAUAUAAACUGAGCCCUUUUACAGAUCUUGUAACUGUAUCCUCUUCCAAUUCAUAAUAAUAUUUGCAUCUAUAAAAUUAUUCAAAUUCAGAAGCAUAAUUAGAAAUUGAUUUUAUACCUUGUCAUACCAAACAAUAAUCAAGAGGAAUGAAUCUUGAUCUUAACAUUUAUUUCAUAUGAGUCCAUGAAGUAAUUUUGAAAAAGACCUUUGAAAAGUAAUCUAUGCCUUUGCACUUUGGUCCACCAUUCUAAAGCACUACCUGUUAAUAGAAAAUUGACUCCAAAGUGUACUCAAUCAUACCUCAGCAAUCUAAUCAUAAAUUCCUAAUCAACCUUAUCCAACCAUGAAGGAAAAUAUUUAGGACUACAAUUUUCAUUAAGCUUCCAAAGCAUGAUGCCCUUUGAAUAUUUCAAUUACAAAUAUAAAAUUGAUGAAAAAAAUGUAAAUAAGACUAAACUUUUAGGUUUAGUGUGGUCGAUUGCUGGUGGCCAUGAUUGGGUCCAAAGAGAUUGGCCAGAUUCGUGGCGUUUUGGCUAGAAAAUUGACUUGAAGUAGCGGUGGCUUGUGGUGAUUUGGUUGUGAUUUUUGGCAGUUUAUGGCUGUGUUUGGUGACAGAGAUGGUCGAUGGAGGCUGAGGAUUCUUGUAGUGGUAGUGGUUGACGAUAAGAGUGGCUAGCAGCAGCUGGUGGAGUGCUCACGAGUUUGGGUUGUUUGCGUGGUGGUUGCGCGAUGGUUGUGCGGCUAUUCAAGGACUAUGGACGGUUGGGUCUUAGUCAACAACUGACCAUGAUUCCAAUGAUGAGUUGAAUGACAGUGGCGGUGGGCAGAGAUGGUGGUGGUAAUAGGUGGAAGCUCAAGAAUUUGGUGUUUUGCAGCAGCUCUGGUGGUGGUUAAAGACAACGGGUGGUAGGGCUUUGGUUAGUGGAGGUUAGCGAGUUUAGCGAUGGUGUUGGUUGGCUGAAUAGCGAUGGCGGUUGGCAGUAGGUGGUGGCAACAAUGGUGGUGGUUGUGGCGGCUAAGGUUUAAAAAUUUUGUGAUUUUUUAUUUUUUUUGUUUUUGGAAUGAAUGGUGAUGGAUGAUUUAGGUGAUUUGUGGUGGACAUAUAUGAUGGCCAAGAAAGCUGUGCAACUGGAACAGAUCGCUUUGAUACUAACUGAUGAAGUGUUACUAGAUCUCGUUCUAAUUCAAACGACUCAAUGAGAUUUUUAAUAACGCUUAAAACGAGAUUAGAUGAUGCUCUAAUCUAACCAAUUCUACAAGAGAGAUUUUGAUAGAUAAUUUAGAGAGAAUUAUAAAAGAGGGGUUUUGUUAAAUAAUUGAAGUUAUAAAAAAUAAUAACAAAACCUUUCUAUUUAUAACAAAGUAAACAUACUUCCCUAAGUUAACUUAAAAGGAGAAAUUAAAUCACAAUUAUAAUAUAAAUAGAAGAUCAAGACACAUACCAUAAUUGACUUUAAUUAAAAUAGAAAGACCUAAAAACUAAAAUUUUUGGAGUUUUAAAUUGACAUCCUGCAUCUUUAUUUGAAAGCACUUCUAGCUAAGGGCUCCAAUUCACAAUCAAGCCCUUAUCUCCAAUCUCAUCAACAAAACCUUUUGGGAGCUUAUUUGUUUCCUUAUAAUCUCUUAUUAUCCACAAUAAAUAAAAAGAACUUUUCUUCAAGUCCCACACAAGUUCUUUCACUUGUUUAUUGCCUAAACAAGCCAUGCUUAUGAAAGGUACAUAAAUGACAGAUCUUUUAGGCUUUUGGUUGAGCCAAUUGAUGCUGAUGGAUUUGUCUAAUGUAAAGUGAUUGAGAUCAUAAUCAUUGUCGUUUAUGAUUUUGUUGUCUAGGUAGAAAGAUGGAAGCGUUGGACCAAUUGUGAGCAUUGGACAGAAGUGCAUUGAAUUCAAAACUUAUCCACUUGAUACGGCGGUGUCUUGAGUAAGUGUUCUCACUUACUUGUCACGGGAUGGCAUGUGACAUUUUGAGCUUGAACAAAUGAUGCUGGCUUCAGUCGCCUUUGGCAAGUUUUAAGUGACUCACAUGGCCAGACAUGUGAACUGAGAAUCAAAUCAGUUAAAAGCUGCUACACACGUGUUACAAUCUGGUGCAAUCUGGGUUUUCUUAUCAGCUACAUAAAAGGCUGAUUGUUGAAGCAGAUUGGCAAUUGAUUUC